rnacentral:rRNA from 1 species
UACGUAGGGUGCGAGCGUUGUCCGGAAUUACUGGGCGUAAAGAGCUCGUAGGUGGUUUGUCGCGUUGUUCGUGAAAACCGGGGGCUUAACCCUCGGCGUGCGGGCGAUACGGGCAGACUUGAGUACUGCAGGGGAGACUGGAAUUCCUGGUGUAGCGGUGGAAUGCGCAGAUAUCAGGGGGAACACCGGUGGCGAAGGCGGGUCUCUGGGCAGUAACUGACGCUGAGGAGCGAAAGCGUGGGGAGCGAACAGG